AUUUUACGUGUACUGGAGAGAGCACUGAAGGUUCUUUUGUGUUUGCAUUACUCAGGGGUGUAAACAGUCCAUCUUUUAGUCAAAAUUGUGGAAACCAAAAGCUUGCUGUUAAAAUGAAUUGUUUUGGAUAACUGUUCAGGUGUCCACUUGCGAAAUCUUCACUCCUACAUGGAGGAGGCCAUUAAGUGCAGUGCCUGUGAGGCAGUUUUUCACGAACGCUACGCUUUCCUUCAGCACAGGAAGACUCACAGAGGAGGAAAAGGAUUCAAAUGUGCUCAGUGCAGCUACACGUGUAAUCAGAAAAAUAUGCGUAAGCAUGCUGAAAAUUGUGGAUUGGGGAGGACAGAAACUGCUGCACCCAGAAAAAGAAGCAAGGAGAAAAAUAAAAUCCGGGAGAACCCCAAGCGUGUUAAGUCAGAAGGUAAUCAGCAAUUACCCUGAAAUCAUUCCAAGAUGAAAAAUGAACAUUGUGCCAGUGAGAUUGCUCCUGUUUUAGAUGGGAUAGAAACAGCAGCUCUGAGAGAAGACAAAACAGAAGCAAUUUGUGAAAUGGAUUCUCAACAUGAUGGACAAAUAACUCACAAACAGACUGAUCUUGCUUGUUCUCAGUGGUUGUAACUGACCAUUUCAAAGUGUGGAACUACCUCCAGUUAGAAAGUUGGAAAAGGUGCUGGUUGAAAGCUGUUGAAGCCUCUCUGUGCUCAUAUUUCUUCUUGCUGCAAUUUCUGCUGUGUAGCCUAAAUACCACUGCCAAAGUGUGAAAAUUAUAGGGAACCUUUGCCUGGUUUAUUACAUAAAUGUGAUAACAGAAUGAGGAAAAAAAAAAGCUAUUUUCAGAGUAAUUUAUUAAAAAAUGGAUAGGUUUGUUUCAGCUUGCAUUUCAUUUUUCUCCAGCCUUACUCACAGAAUUGCAGAUUGAUCUGAGGCAAAGUUCUGCCUCAGUAGCUCUAUAGCACUGAGAGCUGCAUGAACUUCAGAUGGUUUAUGCUUUGCUGGGGUGAGCACAUGAAAGGUAGUGAUUUUUUAAUGCAAGGAACAUUUACUAAACCUCCUUUCUGCAGACACUUUAGUUUCUAAUAGAAUUCAUGAUCCUAAAACACAGUUUUGUGAAAAAGCAUUUCUGUGAAAAAUACAUGGACAGGAAUUACCAUUUAGGUGACAGAAACCUCGUUCAGUUUUGUAGUGUUUUGGCAAACACUGAGAAGUCAGAGUGCUUGAAUUCAUCAAAAUUUGUCACUGGCUUUGCUUUUCCAUUACAGUUAUUUGAGUUAUAACGGUACAUAUUUAUUGGUUUGUUUCUGUUUUCACAGUGGUAAAGUUUUAGUAAGCUCAUCUGUUCUUAACAGGACUUAAGAGUACUUUCGUCCAUGAUAAUUGAUUAAAUAAUAUUGUUCACUUUAUUCUUGUUGUGCUGUUUCCAUUGAUGUUAUAAAAUCUAAGCAGCAGAGUUGUUUAAAUUACUUGAUGAAUUUUAUGAAUAUAUAUUAUUCAUUUAAUAGUUGUUAAUAACAAAGCUGGCACAUUCUGUACCGACAUAUGAGAAUCAGACUACAUGAAGUGGAAUAUGAAUGUAGUAAUAAAAGAUAUAUUUAUAUCUGAACUCGCA
rnacentral:lncRNA from 1 species